rfam:Picea glauca, whole genome shotgun sequence.
GGGUGCGAUCAUACCAACCUUAAUGCAUCGGAUCCCAUCAGAACUCCGCAGUUAAGCGCGUUUGAGCUAGAGUAGUACUGGGAUGGGUGACCUCUCGGGAAGUCCUAGUGUUGCACCCU